UGGCCGCCUUUUGAGCAUCCCACGCUGCUCAGAGGCCACUUUCCUAACUCUCCCCGACAUGCAGGCUCAGGCAGCUGCGAAAUCACCAAGCCUGCAUUUGUGUCCAUGCUCCAGCCUCCUCCCUGCUGCUGUCUGUCCCGGCUCCUAAGGGAUCAUCGAGUCUGCCCUGACACGCUGCAAUUAUAACGCAUCGGAGCAUGCUCACCGCACAUUUAUAGGUCCCUUAAGUGAAUACGAGUGAAUGGUGAUCAUCAGUAGGUAACUAAGUAACAAUAGGAACUCCAUUUUAAGCUAAUCAAGCUAAAGAACUGAUUUCUGGAACUAAGCACUCAGCCUAUGGACUAUUCCUGUAACCCAUGACAAUACAGCCAUUAAAUCAAUAAGUCAAGAGUGGACUGCCAAAACUUCAGGUACCAGCAGGCAGAGACCCCUGUGACUAACAGCUGUCAUGUACUACUCAAGACCCAAGUGGGACAGUGACCUCUGGAUUGAGUAGCCAAGAUGAUGCUGCAGGAAUCACACAAGUCUGCCAAAAAGGGAUAAAAGGCAGUGAAGUUGACCCUCAGUGGCAACGUCUCAUCUAGCACCUGACCUACCAAGACAGAUGGACAAGCAGGCAACCCCCUUCUUGAAAUGACAUAACCUUGAAGGAAGCUGACCAUCAACAGCAGACUCCAGGGCCUCCCAUAGGCUCACGCAUGUCUUGACAGCCGUCUCGAAAGAAGAGAAUUAGUGCAGACUAUCAGACUUCUUCUCCAGUCUCAGGGCCACUCUAGCAGCAUGGAGCAGCUGCUCUGGAACCGUGGCUUCCAGGACACUCUUCUCCUUGCUCUUGGCAAGUACCUUCCUUGUUUCCUCAUCUUCACAUCCAGGAAUAAACUAAUUUGAUGAAAUUAAAAGUGCACCCAAAAAAUCAGCACUGAAGCAUGAAAAACUUCACAGGAAAAUAUAUUUUACUAGGAAGAAAGAUGCUCAAACCCGUGAAGUUCCAAUGUCCUUCUGCAAGCUGCUGAAAGCAUUUGACACUCUUGACAAUAACUGCUGGAUCAAGACCUGGCAGAACAUCUAUAUUCUUUUGAAGGCCAUUGCAGGUAUUGGUCAGACUGCAAAAGGAAUAAAUUGACUGAACACUGAAGAAAAUAACUGCUGCAUUAGAGCCAGAUGAAUGGGUGAUGAGGAUAAAUUAAUUAUUUUCAUACAACAUUAAGGUAUCAUAGCAUGGAAUCCUCUCAAUGAAUCCUAUUAAUAGAGGUAAUACUGAGAGGUUGGGAGUCAGGAUAAAAGUCAGGAUAAUAUCUGCCCACUGACUUUUCCCAACUGUUUUAUUUAUUUAUUUUUGUUUUAGUACAGUAUGGUCAAAAGUGGCAGAACUGGCAAGAGUUUUAUUUUUAAAUGCUUACAAUUGCUUCUUGGAGAAAGAAACAUAAAAUAAUGCCAACUGAUAGGAUUCUGUUUAGAAUCCUUUGUUUAUGAGGAAUGCUCCCCUUCAACUCUUUUGUCAUAAGUUUAUUUGUUUAUUUUUAAUUAGAUCCCAGGUUACUAAACCUUCCUAAUCUUUUGCUCACCCUUCCUUAAAAUGAAAAUACCUGUGUGAUGCUGAGAUUAACAUUUGUAAACAGGACUUGUGGCUAAAAAGCCUUUGGCUAUGCCCCUAGAAAUAUGGCUGGGCAUUUCUUGGCUUGCUGAACUUAUUUAUUUUUUCUUCAUUAAAAAAAAAUAAAAUACGCAUACCAACAAAUUAUCUCAACACAUAAGCAAUAAAAGUAAUGCAUGCAUUUUUAAAUGUUUUUACAUACUGGCACAAAGCCAAUUUGCAGGCUCUACCAACAACAACUGCUAUCCUAAAGAACAAUGAAUUCAAACUUUACUCACUUAUCUUCCCAGGCAACAUCCUCUGAGAUAAUAAAUAAGGCCUUGUAGCCAUCCCAGAAUGUUAACAUAACAGUAUCAGGCUCCACUAAACCAACAGAAGGAGCCAAUUCCAAAUAAAGGGCUUCUCACUUAAGGUGUUUUUCUGCCAUCUGGUUUUCACUUACAACUGUGGGCUGUUUCUUUAUGAAAUUACAGAAUGUGUGUCAAGAGGUAGUUGUAGAUGAGCUGGGGGUCUUAUUUUGUCAAUCAUGGGGAAAAGAGUCUUAGGGUACGAACAGAUGUUGCCUGAUGUUGUAUUUCUGCUGCCAAAACAAUUUCUAUGGUGGCACAAACAUUGAUUAUUAUGCCGCAUCAGUGGCACAACAAAAAACUAAAAUUGUGCCACUUGAUUAUGGUCAAUGUCUGUUUAGUCUGAGGUGGUAGAGUGCAGGCAACCUGGAGUUGAGCUGCCCACACUUUACCAUCAUCUUGGGCAGGUGCUCCAAGGGCCUGGUCCUGUGCACCCAGGUAGGGUUGGACUUCUCAAGCCCCCAAACCUCUUGCCUGGCUUUCUCCACUUACAAAGAGGAGCCCCAGGGGUGCAUCUCCACAACUGGGGAAAUGUUAUGUGGGUCCUGGCAUGGAGGCAUGAGACCCAGGGAACCCUGGGCCUGCAGGCUGGUAUCUGCACUGAGCAAUGCCUCUGCAGGAUGCACUAAAGAUUCCCUGGCUCCUGCAAGAGGACCCACAUUAACCCAUGCUUCAUGCAGAAGCACGGAUCAGUGUGGGUCUUGCUGUGGAGACAUGGCCCACUGAGGAUUCCCCAAAUCCCAUGACACUCCCCACCAUCCUGUGCUUGGAUCCAUACUGACCUAUGCCUCAAUAUGAAGAAUAGGUUAGUGUAAGUCCUGGCAAGGAGAUGCAGGCUGGCAUGGGAACUGAGGAAUUUUUAGGGCCCCAUGCCUCUAUGCCAGGACCUGCAUAGACCUGUGCCUCCAGGUUGGCAUGGGGCUCAGUACACAUACCAGCAGGGAAGCAUAUGGUCCUGGGAAUUCUCCAGCUCCCAUACUGCCCUGCACCUGCUUGCCUGGACCUUGCCUGCUUCAGCCUGGAUCUGCUUCAGGCAGAAGUAUGGGUCAGCAUGGAUCCUGGCAUGAAACAGUGUGGAGAAGCCAGAGAAUCCCUGGUGUCCCAUGCCUUCUUUUAGAACCCACACCAGCCCACACUUCAGGUGGAGGCACAGGUCAGCACUGGUGUGAAGGCAUAGUGCACUGGGGAUUCCCUGACUCCUGCACCACCAUGUCAACCCAUGCCUUCAUGUGAGGCAUGGCCAGGGGAACAUGUCACCCCCUGUCCUGCAUCAAUCAAACAUGUCACCUCCUGUCCUGCAUCCAAUCUGAUGUUGGACAAGGAGCAAUGUGUGUGUUGCCCAGUAAAGCUCAUCAGCUAUGGUGGGACAUGUGUAUUUCUAUUCUUAGAUUAUUUCUCUCACAAUUACCAUGAGCAACAUCCCAUGACAGAGAGAUUUUCCUUAUUGUACUAAUUGCCCCUAUGCUUUUAAAUUAUGAAAAACUUACAGCCACAUAUUUCUAUCAAUUGGCUUUACUAGUGGGUACAGGUGAGAUCCAUAUAUUUUAUUUAUAGAUGCUAGAGAAGUAAACUGGAUGUAGUAAUAAGCAUAAGUCAUAUAAAAUGGUACCCAGCUAUAUUUAAUAAUCUUGGCAUAAUUUUAGAAAGUGAUGUAACAUACAGGUACCUAUCUUCAUUAUUUCAAUCUUCCAUAUAACUGUUGUGUCUGAUCACCUUGUAUCCAAAGAAAUGUGUGCAUCAGAUGCAAGUAGCAUGAGGAAAGUAACAGACCACUUCAGCUGUAAGGGCUAAUCAGGAUGAAGCCCAUGCCAGGUGAAGAUGAAGACCAUGCUAAAAAUCCCAUUUGUUAAAAUGUGGAAAAGAGCCAUGAGAAAAUAAAGGAUUUGUGCCACAACAUGAUCGUACAAAGUGGUAUUUCAAUAUCUUUUAACAUAAGCUUUUAGAUGAGAUAGCAAUUCUUCUUGUAGUAUUGAUUGGCCAUGAGCAUUUUUUUUAAACUUACCUUUGUUUUUACAAUUUACUUUGUUGUAAAUUUCCAAUAAAAAUCUGCUUGGCUUAUGGUAAAUCACACUAUGCAGUAUAUAACAAAAACUGCUUUUUACUGCACUUACUAAUACAUUGAUUUUUAUGGUGCCUGUAGCUAUACAGAGUUAGUUACAAGUAAGGUUGUAAAAAAAGACCCCUUUUUCCACGUGUCCACACUCCAUGUGGGUUUGUACCCACUAAAUAUUUUUUAUUAUUUGCUUAUUGUUACAGCACACAGGAGCUGCAUUAAUGUACUAGGGAUCCAUUGUGCUAGCAUGAUACAGACUCACAGCAAAAAAAUGAUUAUUGCACCGGAGACUUUAUCAACUCAAUAUGGCAGAGGAGACAACAGAUGUACAUAAAUAGAGUGAAAAGUACAAGGGAACAAUGAAGUACUAGUAGUCAUCCUGAUAGACAGAAGUAAUAAAUGUACAUCAGGCUCACAGUUGUAAAGAGUACAGAAAAGGAAAGGAUUAUGGAGGGUUUGAAGGAGAAUAAUGACAUAGCUUUGUAGGUAAUUAUGGGGAAUAUUAUGGACAUUGUGGCUGAUUCAGAUGUGCAGGCAUGCGUGGUUUGUGGCACAGCAAGCCACACAUGUUCAACGUUAAGCUAUGCCUAGUGCUGCUAAUUUGCAGUGUUGAGCCAAAAAAAAAAAAGAGAGGCACAAAGCACUCCUGGACUGGCUGGGGCUCAGUGUGCCUCAAGAUGGGAGCAGGCAGCCUUCGGCUGCCUGAUCCCUUGUCUCAGCAUGCCUGCUUCACUGUGGAGCCCCCACGCUGAGGCACAUGGAGCACCCACACUGAGCCACCCUCCA